AGCUGGGUGUGGUGGCACACACU
rnacentral:piRNA from 1 species